UACGUAGGGCGCAAGCGUUGUCCGGAAUUAUUGGGCGUAAAGAGCUCGUAGGCGGUUUGUCGCGUCUGCUGUGAAAACCCGAGGCUCAACCUCGGGCCUGCAGUGGGUACGGGCAGACUAGAGUGCGGUAGGGGAGAUUGGAAUUCCUGGUGUAGCGGUGGAAUGCGCAGAUAUCAGGAGGAACACCAAUGGCGAAGGCAGAUCUCUGGGCCGUAACUGACGCUGAGGAGCGAAAGCAUGGGGAGCGAACGGG
rnacentral:rRNA from 1 species